CUAUAUACCGCCGUCGUCAGCCUACCCUGUGAGGGAAUAAUAGUAAGCAAGAUUAGCAUGGCCCAAAACGUCAGGUCGAGGUGUAGCGUAUGAGAGGGCUAGAAAUGGGCUACAUUCCCUUUUACAGGGAACUACGAACUAUGAAUUGAAAAAUUCGUCAUGAAGGAGGAUUUAGCAGUAAAUGAAAAACAGAGAGUUUCAUUGAAACCGGCUCUAAAGCACGCACACACCGCCCGUCACUCUCCCCUAAAAGAACUACCAAAUAGUUAAUUACCCUAAUAAAACACAGGGGAGGCAAGUCGUAACAUGGUAAGUGUACCGGAAGGUGCCCUUGGUUAGAC
rnacentral:rRNA from 1 species